rnacentral:snRNA from 1 species
AACCGGAAGCCGGGUUACGGUGC